rnacentral:misc_RNA from 1 species
CUCAUCUUCCAAUUCAAAUCCAUUGAUCUAGUCGUCAUUAUAGCAUAACCCACUGCAAUUACCUCAAAAAUGAUGGAGAAAAUAAUGAGAUUCCUGGUCAUCUUCCUCCAAGUAAGGGAUCUCCUUUUCAUCCUAGAUAAAACAGCAGCUUCUUCCUUGGAAAUGUUUUGCAGUCUCUUUUCAAAAUCGUCCCCAUGGAAUCUAAAAAUGCCAUUCCAGAUACGAGACAUAAUACCCUUGCGCUUCUUUUUAUCAAUUAAUCUUUGUUCAUUCUUUUCACCUUCUGCUAUGCCUUUGUCCUCUGCCAUUUCUUUCACUCGUUUCUUGUUCUUGUACUACUGCUGCUACCCGAAAGAAACGGAUGGACAGUCGAUCUAUCAAAACGUUCGGGUAGUAGCUGGCUGAAGCUUCUUUAGUCCUCUUUUCCUCUUCAAAAGAAGUGCGUCCCAGAUCUAUCUGAAAUAAAACAAGCAAUCAAACUCCAAGCCGUAGAUGGGGCUUGGGAUUAGGGAGGAGGCAACACGGGAACAGAUCGACAAUAAUUACGGUAAUGGUCUCCGACUCUGGGUUUAUUUUUUGCAAGCAAUUUCAACUUCGCGAAAACCAAUCCAUUAAUAAAUGCAAUCUCUCAUCAAACUUGGACCCU